CCCUACUGCUAUCGGGGUGGGACUAAGACAUGCGAGUUGAGCGUCUCUAAGCCAUGGUAGAGACGCAGCGUACGGCUCAGUAACACGUGGCUAACCUACCCUUAGGACGGGGACAACCCCGGGAAACUGGGACUAAUACCCGAUAGGUGAGGAGGCCUGGAAUGGUUCUUAGUCGAAAAGGCGUUGAAACCAUGCUUUUCGACGUCGCCUAAGGAUGGGGCCGCGUCCGAUCAGGUUGUUGGUGGGGUAACGGCUCACCAAGCCUUUAACCGGUACGGGCCGUGAGAGCGGGAGCCCGGAGAUGGGCACUGAGACAAGGGCCCAGGCCCUACGGGGCGCAGCAGUCGCGAAAACUCCGCAAUGCGCGAAAGCGUGACGGGGCUACCCCGAGUGCCGUCCGCUGAGGAUGGCUUUUCCCCGGUGUAAUGAGCCGGGGGAAUAAGGAGAGGGCAAGACUGGUGUCAGCCGCCGCGGUAAUACCAGCUCUCCGAGUGGUAGGGAUGAUUAUUGGGCUUAAAGCGUCCGUAGCCGGCUUAGCAAGUCUCCUGUUAAAUUCAGCGACCUAAUCGUUGAGCCGCGGGAGAUACUACUAGGCUAGGAGGCGGGAGAGGCCGACGGUAUUCUCGGGGUAGGGGUGAAAUCCUAUAAUCCCGGGAGGACCACCAGUGGCGAAGGCUGUCGGCUAGAACGCGCUCGACGGUGAGGGACGAAAGCUGGGGGAGCGAACCGGAUUAGAUACCCGGGUAGUCCCAGCCGUAAACGAUGCGGGCUAGGUGUUGGGGUGGCUACGAGCCACUUCAGUGCCGCAGGGAAGCCAUUAAGCCCGCCGCCUGGGGAGUACGGCCGCAAGGCUGAAACUUAAAGGAAUUGGCGGGGGAGCACCACAAGGCGUGAAGCUUGCGGUUC
rnacentral:rRNA from 1 species